UACGAAGGUGGCUAGCGUUGUUCGGAUUUAUUGGGCGUAAAGGGUCCGCAGGCGGUUUGAUAAGUCAGGUGUGAAAUCCAACAGCUUAACUGUUGACACGCAUUUGAUACUGUCAGACUAGAGUAUGAGAGGGGUGAGAGGAAUUUCCAGUGUAGGGUGAAAUCCGUAGAUAUUGGAAAGAACACCGCCGCGAAGGCGUUCACUGGCUCAUACUGACGCUCAGGGACGAAAGCU
rnacentral:rRNA from 1 species